AGAGUUUGAUCCUGGCUCAGGAUGAACGCUGACAGAAUGCUUAACACAUGCAAGUCGACUGGAAUUCUUCUUCGGAAGAUAGUACGGUGGCGGACGGGUGAGUAACGCGUAAAGAAUUUGCCCUUCAGACUGGGACAACUAACCGAAAGGUUAGCUAAUACCGGAUAUUAUGAGACCUCGGCAUCGGGGACUUAUGAAAGCUAUAUGCGCUGGAGGAGAACUUUGCGUCCCAUUAGGUAGUUGGUAGGGUAAUGGCCUACCAAGCCGACGAUGGGUAGCCGGCCUGAGAGGGUGAACGGCCACAAGGGGACUGAGACACGGCCCUUACUCCUACGGGAGGCAGCAGUGGGGAAUAUUGGACAAUGGACCAAAAGUCUGAUCCAGCAAUUCUGUGUGCACGAUGAAGGUCUUCGGAUUGUAAAGUGCUUUCAGGUGGGAAGAAGAAAGUGACGGUACCACCAGAAGAAGCGACGCUAAAUA
rnacentral:rRNA from 1 species